rnacentral:lncRNA from 1 species
UGGUGGUCGACGGUGUCGCGUACUUACUUGGCGAGGAGAAAGAAGAAGCUAGAGAGGAGUGAAAGAGAGAGAGACAUACUUUGGGAUUUAUACUUGACAGAGGUCGAAGUUGCCUAGUUCUUAGCGAUACGGUUCAACCAUCCUACGUUGUGCUGAAAGCUUCGUAUACAGGCUCUCAAUUAGUCAUCACGGUGCCUUGUUCAUCGCAGUACUCAUUCAACUUCCAACCACGAAGGGCAGGACUUAGAUGGCAUCGCACGAUUCGUUUAC